AGUGGAUUUCAAAUGGCUUUUGGCACGCAGCACUUGACUCCACUGAUUUAAAUGUGAGUAAAAGUCCUGAGCAGACAAAGAACUGAAGGUGAUUCUACAUCCAGCGCUGUAAAAACCCGUAAUCUCUCUUGGAAAGAUGUCAGUUCGAUGUGAAUAAAUUAGUAAAAACAGAUGACUCAACGACGGAUGCGUCAUGGCUCUGCUGCUGAACGAGUUCAGUUCCACCUCUGGUCCUCCCGGUGUCCCCACGGCGGACCGAGGACACCCGUCAGGGAGUGCUCAGGGAGGUCAGCCAGUGGGUGUGGAACCCCAGCGACUCCCAGGAGGAGCAGCUCGACGCCCCAACGCCGAGGAAACCAGCCACACAGCAGCUCCAGCAGGUCUGAACUGGAGGAGUCCGGAGAAGCAGCGUCACAUCAGAAAGUCCUGUCAGUCAACAGUUCAGGAGAGCAGAGUCAGCGAUCAGCGGCGUGGCGGUGGUCGGCGGAUACAGCCGGACGACACCGAACAGCCGAACACAGCAGAGACUCAUGGAGGACAUUCACCAGGACAGCCCAGCAGGGACAGAGGGACGGCGGAGGCCUCCCACUUUCAGCCGAAUGAAGAAUUGACAUCCAUCUGGAGCCUCAAAACAUGUCUCAUCUUGAAAAAGAGGAACUCGAGGUGUCCGGCGCUCUGGCCUCGGUGGGGGUGUAGACCAGGGUCCAGCCGUCCGUUGUGCUGCUGCUGUUUCCCUGGAGUGUCCUGGCAGGAAGCGAGCAGCCUCGAAGUCUUAUCUCCUGCAGCCAGGAUGCUGAUUACCGGCGGCUGCAG